GAUGAACGCUAGCUACAGGCUUAACACAUGCAAGUCGAGGGGAAACGGCAUCGAAAGCUUGCUUUUGAUGGGCGUCGACCGGCGCACGGGUGAGUAACGCGUAUCCAACCUGCCCAUCACUUGGGAAUAACCUUGCGAAAGUAAGACUAAUGCCCAAUGACAUCCCACGAAGGCAUCCGAAUGGGAUUAAAGAUUUAUCGGUGAUGGAUGGGGAUGCGUCUGAUUAGCUUGUUGGCGGGGUGACGGCCCACCAAGGCAACGAUCAGUAGGGGUUCUGAGAGGAAGGUCCCCCACAUUGGAACUGAGACACGGUCCAAACGCCUACGGGAGGCAGCAGUGAGGAAUAUUGGGCAAUGGGCGAGAGCCUGAACCAGCCAAGUAGAGUGCAGGAUGACGGCCCUAUGGGUUGUAAACUGCUUUUAUAAGGGAAUAAAGUGGGUCACGUGUGACUUUUUGCAUGUACCUUAUGAAUAAGGACCGGCUAAUUCCGUG
rnacentral:rRNA from 1 species